ACCGGGGGGGGGCAGAAUACAAAAUAACCCAUCUGGUUGCUCCUAAAUAACCCAUCUGGUUGCUCCCAUCCGCCUCCCCCAAAACCCUGUGGUGAGGGAUUUUGGGGGAGGCGGGCAGGAGCCCAGAUUUCCUCCCCGUGCGCCUCCCUGGCGCACCAGCAGCAGAAGGCUCCGGUGGGCUUCGCGGGGGGAUGCCAUGGGGCACGCAUCUCCCGCGGCCUCCGGGCACACGCUUUUAACGCAAAUACCAGCGGUUUGCUCCCCAGGCAACGCCAGCCGACUUCUGAAAGAGCAAGGAUUUAUUUUAUAGAAUUAUCUUUGUAGAAGGUAAUAUAGCGUUACACUCCGAUUUUUAUUCUCCCCCCCCCUACAGCGUUACACUCCGGGUUUUUUUCCCCCGUACAGCGUUACACGCCCUUUUUUCUUUUUUUAAUACUUUCAAAAAAUAUUUUUUUAGUAUUUAUUUUAUAUAUUAUUUUUUCCCCACCCCCCACCGGCGCCGGGGCACGGCGGCCGCCCGCACCCCCGCCCGGGGACGGCAGCACAAAGGGCCGGGCGCUCCAGCCCAUCACUCCUCCCUUAGCGCUUUUUAUUUUUUCCCCCGCUUUUUUCACCACCCCACAGCUUCAGCGGGAAAGUUGAGGGAAAAGUUCGAGCCGGCGGCGGGGGCGGCCCCCAGCACCCAGCAGACACAGAGCCCCCCCCCGGCAUCGCUGCCGCCGGGGCACCGGGAGGGCGGGAGGGAGGGAGGGCACCGCCGUUAACCCCCGGCUCGCCCCGGCGGCGGAGCCCGCUCCGGCGUCGCUGGGGGAAGGGGAGGGCGCCCUGCCCCCGCUUUGCUUUAGGAUUAUUUAACUUCAGCAUAAGGAGCGAUUUAUUUUUUUUUUAAUAGCUGACUGGGACAGCAGCCGCCAAACCCACAGACGUUAGCCGUUUAUCCUGAUUGCCCUAUGCUGAUCACUAUUCAAACAGCUGCUGCAGUUACUGAACUUCUCCUGGUACAUCCCACUCAGCUGCUGUGUCUGAGAAGAAUUCUGCUGGUCUGCUGAGAAGCUGUAUGUGAGAUGCUAGAAGGAGUAAGCAGGUGCAGAGACUACUGAUUCAAAGUCUGGCCUGAGUCGAUCUGACCAAGAAAAUUAUUUUGAUUUAAUUGCUAUAGUAGUUCUAGUGAAAAUCCUACGGAUGAAAGUCUACAUUACAAAACCACAGCCAUCCCUAGGACUUUUCUGGAUCCUCAGAAAAGGUGAAGGAACUGAAUACCCAGAAGAAACUGGUCACUGGCAUAGAGCUGGGAAAAAGCUAGGGACACGGUGUGGUGCUGCUGGUGGCAGAGCACUGUUAGGAGGCGCAACUCCUAUUGAUGGAAGAUGUUUUCUCUGAGGCUUAUCAAAGGACUAAUACUGCAUUCAUUCAAUUAAAUACUGAUUUGGAGUUUUGUAUUGUCUGCUGCUAAGGAGAGGCAUAUAUUGGGUUUCGCCUCACUUGCUUAAUUGCUUUUGUAUUCUCAGUUUGCCAAGUGUCUGUAUAAUCCAUAUGUGGUAAUAAUUUCAUGCGCAAACUUUAGUACGCACAGUGCUGCAGAAGUUGAACAAACCUUGUCAAUCACUGAACACAGGAAAACCUGUUGGUGGAACAAAUUUGCUGCAUGCUUUAAUUGUAGUCAGAGAGGCCUAGCUUCCCCUAGAUUUUCAUGGUUUGCUGUUCAACUAGAAUUUCUUCCAUGCAUCUGAAAUUUGCUCCAGGUUAUGUGAUGUUUUGUGGUCCAUCACAACAUGGCAUAUUACCAAUUGAGACUAUAUAAUCCACGAUGAAAAUAUGCCCUUAAUUCUCCAUGACAAAUGGAAAGAAUUUGGAUAUCUUAUUUAGAACAGUAGAGGGGAAAUGGAAUACAGCCCAGCUCUGUAGUUUAAAUUUAUCUUUUUUGUUAAAGCAAAAAGGGUAUACACGUAAAAGGUAUCUGAAACUUAGAUUAUUCAUGAAGGACUCAGUGGCUUAAGCUUUGCUGAGUUGGCUUGCCCAUUUUUCUUAACUGCUUCCUACCCGUGCUUAUUUCCAUAAUAAAUGUGCCGGUAUAAUUUUGGAUAUGCUUUUAUGAUAUUGAAUUAGGCCUUCUGGAAAACUCAUUUAGCAUUUCAGUAUAACACUUCUACAGAGUUAGAAAAACAGAACAGAAAACUUUAUCCUUUACAAAUCAGUGAAAACAGCCCUUUUGACUACGUGAGACUGCAGUUGCACAAUUUUUUGAAUUUUCUUUUAACAUUCCACAGCAUGAUAGAUGCAAUGCCAACACGAAGAGAGGUAUAUGGUCUCUACUCCAAAAAGAAAAUUUUCUAUUAUAUUCUACAAACUAGUUUCAAACUCUAGGGACAUGGCUUUUAAAAUGGUAUCCAUAGAUUGUCUCAUGUUAAUUACUUCUUUAAAUCUAUCAUAUUUUUUUCUCAGGGAUCUGCUUAUUAAUAUUGACAUUAUAGUGUUAAUACCUUUUGUAUUGUAAGUAGUACAGUGUGAGAGUGCUGUAGAAUAACGAAUUAUAAUUGUAAAUGCAUCCAGAUAUUUUGAAAAAGAAAUAAAUAGAUUUGAUUACU